AUUCUUUUAGUCUAUGUAAUAUGAUUUAGUCAUUGAUUUUACAUAGAAACAGUGGCGGAGCCAGACAAAAAUGUUUGGGGUGGCCGUCACUAAUUUCCCUUUCAAUUCUUGGAUUCUCAUGAACUUGUUCAGGUUCGGAUGAAGAAAUUAUAACUUCAUCUCUUUGAAUAUCAACGGCCUCUUAAAAAUAGAAUCGAUUCUUUGAAUCUUCAUCUACCUUAACUUUUCCAAUUGUGCGCUCCAAUAGUAUGCUCACCUCUUAAUUGCAAGAAUCAAACCAACAACAAGAUCAGAAAGAGUAGGUAUGCAAAAUAUAUUUACCAACAUGAGAGACAACAAUUAUUCAAAAAACAUAACAAAAUUGAACCAUUUAUUUAGAAAAGCAUAAGCCAUAAAUAGUUAGAAAAGCAUAAGCCACCUGAGACAACAAUGAUAGUUAGAAUAGCAUAAGCCAUAAUUUAACCAUUUAUUUGUACAUCUCCCAUUUCCAUGAGAAGUUAAAGAACAUUAAACAUUAUAAAACAAACAGCACUACUAUGUUCCAUUAUCUAUUUAUCUCCACAAACAAGACAUGUAGCUACUUGGUGCCUUGAGAUUGAUUCUUUAUUUGGAAAAUAGAACUUAACAACUAGUAGCUACAUGGUAAUCUUCGCACAAGUGAUUUACAACUACCUUCUAUUAUACAUUGCAUUGCAAUAUGUACUAUCAUUUCUAGAUUUUCCCCCUUUUUAUCAGGGAUUCUUUUCUGGACAUCUUAUUAUCAAUACCUUUGUUCUAGUUCAAGAUAAACAGAUUAGCAUCUUCAGAUUAUAAAGUAUUCUGAAACUCACAUGAAGUGUGUUAAAAAAAAGCAUAUACAUAUUUAUACUGACAUUCUUCUUUUAAUGCAAUCAACUAGGUUUAACAACAAUAGAUGAAAAAACUGAUGGCAAUCAAUCAAUUAAAGAACAUGUAAUCAUCAAAGAAGAAUCAGAUUUAAAGGAAAAUACAUUCAAUUUCAAUUUUCACAUUACCUAAAUUAGGGUUUUUGGAGAGAGAUGGAGAUAACACAGAAGAUGUUCAAUUCACACAAAAAAA
rnacentral:lncRNA from 1 species